CCCUUAGAUGUUCUGGGCCGCACGCGCGCUACACUGAUGCAUUCAACAAGCCUAGCCUUGACCGAGAGGUCCGGGUAAUCUUUGAAACUGCAUCGUGAUGGGGCUAGAUUAUUGCAAUUAUUAAUCUUAAACGAGGAAUGCCUAGUAAGCGUGAUUCAUCAAAUCGCGUUGAUUACGUCCCUGCCCUUUGUACACACCGCCCGUCGCUCCUACCGAUUGAAUGUGUUGGUGAGGAGCUCGGAUUGGCAGCAGUUGGUGGUUCGCCACCGGCUAUUGCUGAGAAGUCCUCCAAACCGCCCCAUUUAGAGGAAGGAGAAGUCGUAACA
rnacentral:rRNA from 1 species